rnacentral:rRNA from 1 species
CUGCGAGUAUUGUAGCAAUACAAGGCAGACGGCUCAGUAACGCGUAGUCAAUCUACCCUAUGGACGGGAAUAACCUCGGGAAACUGAGAAUAAUGCCCGAUAGAACAUUAUGCCUGGAAUGGUUUAUGUUUCAAAUGAUUUAUCGCCAUAGGAUGGGACUGCGGCCUAUCAGUUUGUUGGUGAGGUAAUGGCCCACCAAGACUAUUACAGGUACGGGCUCUGAGAGGAGUAGCCCGGAGAUGGGUACUGAGACACGGACCCAGGCCCUAUGGGGCGCAGCAGGCGAGAAAACUUUGCAAUGUGCGAAAGCACGACAAGGUUAAUCCGAGUGGUUUCUGCUAAAGAAACCUUUUGUCAGUCCUAGAAACACUAACGAAUAAGGGGUGGGCAAGUUCUGGUGUCAGCCGCCGCGGUAAAACCAGCACCUCAAGUGGUCAGGAUGAUUAUUGGGCCUAAAGCAUCCGUAGCUCGUUUUGUAAGUUUUCGGUUAAAUCCAUGCGCUUAACGUAUGGGCUGCCGGGAAUACUGCAUAACUAGGAAGUGGGAGAGGUAGACGGUACUCGGUAGGAAGGGGUAAAAUCCUUUGAUCUAUUGAUGACCACCUGUGGCGAAGGCGGUCUACCAGAACACGUUCGACGGUGAGGGAUGAAAGCUGGGGGAGCAAACCGGAUUAGAUACCCGGGUAGUCCCAGCUGUAAACUAUGCAAACUCAGUGAUGCAUUGGCUUAUGGCCAAUGCAGUGCUGCAGGGAAGCCGUUAAGUUUGCCGCCUGGGAAGUACGUACGCAAGUAUGAAACUUAAAGGAAUUGGCGGGGGAGCACCACAAGGGGUGAAGCCUGCGGUUCAAUUGGAUUCAACGCCGGGAAGGGC